rnacentral:piRNA from 1 species
UGUGAUGUCAUAUACUUUCAAAGGUCCA